AUUGAACGCUGGCGGCAUGCUUUACACAUGCAAGUCGAACGGUAACAGGCCUUCGGGUGCUGACGAGUGGCGAACGGGUGAGUAAUGCAUCGGAACGUACCCAGAGGUGGGGGAUAACGCAGCGAAAGCUGUGCUAAUACCGCAUGUGAUCUGAGGAUGAAAGCGGGGGACCGAGCAGCAAUGUUUGGCCUCGCGCCUUUGGAGCGGCCGAUGUCGGAUUAGCUAGUUGGUGGGGUAAAGGCCUACCAAGGCGACGAUCCGUAGCUGGUCUGAGAGGACGACCAGCCACACUGGGACUGAGACACGGCCCAGACUCCUACGGGAGGCAGCAGUGGGGGAUUUUGGACAAUGGGCGCAAGCCUGAUCCAGCAAUGCCGCGUGCGGGAAGAAGGCCUUCGGGUUGUAAACCGCUUUUGGCAGGAACGAAACGGUGUCCGCUAAUACCGGGCGCUAAUGACGGUACCUGCAGAAUAAGCACCGGCUAACUACGUG
rnacentral:rRNA from 1 species